CUUGAACAACGUCGAUAUCCUCCAUUCCAAGGAAGCUUUAGUCUGUCAGCAAUAAAGGCGAAGAUGACCUUGACUUCUUCAUGAUACAGAGGGGUGGUGUGUUUGCGGAGACGGCUGAUUAGGCCAGUCCUUGCACAGAAAAGUCUGCUGCAAUGAGGGUUCAUCAGGGCAGGUCCUGCUGUGUCACAAGACAAACAGUUUUGACAGGUGAGGUGAAAGUCAGACGCAACGACCUGUCAUGUCUUUCAACACCUUGACGCAACCUUUCACGGCAGAAUUCCUGUUUUCAGGCCUCUCUGGGUGAGGAAACUCAUGCAAAAAUGUUCUAAACCAAAAUCAUUUCAGUUCAAGGGCCACAUUUAACCCAAUUUCAUCUCCAGUGACCAGUAAAAUCACAACAUAAUAAUCUAUAAAUAACCACAACUCCAAAUUUUUCCUUUGUUUUAGUGUAAAAAGGUAUGUUUUGAAAAUGUUUACAUUUAAGGAAUUAUAUUUUUAUAAAA